rnacentral:lncRNA from 1 species
GGACCCUCAUAAUGCUUGUCAUUUCAGGAGCAUAAUGGGCCAGCUGAUUAAACUUUAAAGUAUACUCCUGAACACUCAUCUUACCCUGCUUAAGGUUCAUAAACUCCUCCACUUUCGCUUUCCUCAACUCUAGAGGAAAGAACCGGUCAAGAAAAACUUCCACCAACUCAUCCCACACUGUAGGCUCAGCACUGUCACCC